rnacentral:lncRNA from 1 species
CUGUUAGCUAUUACCUUAUCUGUACGUUCCGCAUUUGACAGGCGCACCACCAAACGGUGUAUUUAGGAUUUUGCUAUAUACACGGGUCAUAAUCAAAGGGCUGACACUACUAAAUUCAAUCAUUGUCAAAUUGUUCCCUAUUGUAGCUUUAUUCAGCAAUCAGCAAGACUUUCUAAGAUAACUAAUAUAGGACAAUGCUGUUGAUUAAAAAAUACCCCAUUCCUGGAUAGCCUGGACCUUUUGUUUUCCAAAUAAUUAAUAUUUCCAAUAAUUGAUAAGUUCCAGGUCGACGGGUUCAAACAGAAAGAUUUGAAAGCAGAGAAAACUG